rnacentral:rRNA from 1 species
CCUACGGGUGGCAGCAGUGAGGAAUAUUGGUCAAUGGGCGGAAGCCUGAACCAGCCAAGUAGCGUGCAGGAUGACGGCCCUACGGGUUGUAAACUGCUUUUAUACGGGAAUAACGCGCCUUACGUGUAGGGCUUUGCAUGUACCGUAUGAAUAAGGACCGGCUAAUUCCGUGCCAGCCGCCGCGGUAAUACGGAAGGUCCGGGCGUUAUUCGGUUUUUUUGGGUUUAAAGGGAGCGUAGGCCGCAUGUUAAGCGUGCUGUGAAAUGUCCGGGCUCAACCCGGGCCUUGCAGUGCGAACGGGGGUGCUUGAGUCCGCGAGAAGCAGGCGGAAUUCGUCGUGUAGCGGUGAAAUGCUUAGAUAUGACGAAGAACCCCGAUUGCGAAGGCAGCUUGCUGCAGCGGUACUGACGCUGAUGCUCGAAAGCGCGGGUAUCGAACAGGAUUAGAUACCCCUGUAGUC